rnacentral:rRNA from 1 species
AAUAUUGGACAAUGGGCGAAAGCCUGUUCCAGCCAUGCCGUGUGUGUGAAGAAGGUCUNCGGAUUNUNAAGCACUUUAAGUAGGGNGGAAGGGCUUCAGGUCGAUACCCUGAAGUUUCUACGUUACCAAAAGAAUCAGCGCCGGCUACCUCUGUGCGAGCAGCCGCGGUAAUACAGAGGGUGGAAGCAUUAAUCGGAAUUACUGGGCGUAAAGCGCGCGUAGGUGGUUCAGUAAGAUGGGUGUGAAAUCCCCGGGCUUAACCUGGGAACUGCUUUCAUAACUGCUGAGCUAGAGUACGGUAGGGGGUAGUGGAAUUUCCUAUGUAGCGGUGAAAUGCGUAGAUAUAGGAAGGAACACCAGUGGCGAAGGCGACCACCUGGGCUAAUACUGACACUGAGGUGCGAAAGCGUGGGGAGCAAAC